CCGCCUCUGCAAGCAAGGGGGAAUUUGGGAAUGGUGAAAAGAAUUUAGCUUUUUGUUUAUUUCCUUUAAGUUUGUCCCUUACUUCCUUCAAGUUCGUUAUGAGAGGCUCCUAUCCUAGAUCCAGGUCACUACAUUUUAUGUUUCUUUUCCAUAUUAUUUUAAUUUGAUUUUAGUAGUAUUAUUGUUAAUUGUUUGAUUAAUGUUUCUUCAUUGUGGUGGAUUUUAGUUGUAGAAGUCGUUGUGGAGCGUGGUAUUCGUUAGAGGGAAUCACAUCAGUCUGCCAUAGGUGUUCAUCGCAAUCUUCUACGGCCGAUCAAGG
rnacentral:lncRNA from 1 species